rnacentral:rRNA from 1 species
AUUUACAUGAGAGUUUGAUCCUGGCUCAGGACGAACGCUGGCGGCGUGCCUAAUACAUGCAAGUCGAACGGUCUUUUCUAUGGAAGCUUGCUUCCACUGAGAAGAUAGUGGCGGACGGGUGAGUAACACGUGGGUAACCUGCCCAU